rnacentral:piRNA from 5 species
GAGCCCGGAUAGCUCAGUCGGUAGAGC